rnacentral:snoRNA from 1 species
UGAAUUUCUUCACCUGAAAUAUUAUGUGGAUUCAGUAAAACAGAGCUUUUUAACCCUGA